GGUUAUGGCUCAGUGGUAAAGUGUUUGCCUAGCAUGUGUGAGGCACUGGAUUCGAUCCUCAGUACCA
rnacentral:tRNA from 1 species